rnacentral:rRNA from 1 species
UAGGGAAUCUUCGGCAAUGGACGAAAGUCUGACCGAGCAACGCCGCGUGAGUGAAGAAGGUUUUCGGAUCGUAAAACUCUGUUGUUAGAGAAGAACAAGGACGUUAGUAACUGAACGUCCCCUGACGGUAUCUAACCAGAAAGCCACGGCUAACUACGUGCCAGCAGCCGCGGUAAUACGUAGGUGGCAGGCGUUGUCCGGAUUUAUUGGGCUUAAAUCGAGCGCAGGCGGUUUCUUAAGUCUGAUGUGAAAGCCCCCGGCUCAACCGGGAAGGGUCAUUGGAACCUGGGAGACUUAAGUGCAGAAGAGGUGAGUGGAAUUCCGGUUGUAGCGGUAAAAUGCGUAGAUAUAUGGAGGCACACCAGUGGCGAAGGCGGCUCUCUGGUCUGUAACUACCGCUGAGGCUCGAAAGCGUGGGGAGCAAACAGG